rnacentral:rRNA from 1 species
GCAAGCCUGAAUGCAGCCAUGCCGCGUGUAUGAAGAAGGCCCUAGGGUUGUAAAGUACUUUCAGUCGGGAGGAAGGCGUUGAUGCUAAUAUCAUCAGCGAUUGACGUUACCGACAGAAGAAGCACCGGCUAACUCCGUGCCAGCAGCCGCGGUAAUACGGAGGGUGCAAGCGUUAAUCGGAAUUACUGGGCGUAAAGCGCACGCAGGCGGUUGAUUAAGUUAGAUGUGAAAUCCCCGGGCUUAACCUGGGAAUGGCAUCUAAGACUGGUCAGCUAGAGUCUUGUAGAGGGGGGUAGAAUUCCAUGUGUAGCGGUGAAAUGCGUAGAGAUGUGGAGGAAUACCGGUGGCGAAGGCGGCCCCCUGGACAAAGACUGACGCUUCAGGUGCGAAAGCCGGUUUKGGGRGCAAACAGGAUUAGAUACCCNGGUAGAUCAGA